rnacentral:rRNA from 1 species
CCUACGGGUGGCAGCAGUGAGGAAUAUUGGUCAAUGGCCGAGAGGCUGAACCAGCCAAGUCGCGUGAGGGAAGAAGGCCCUACGGGCUGUAAACCUCUUUUGCCGGGGAGCAAAGAGACUCACGUGUGACUCAUUGAGAGUACCCGAAGAAAAAGCAACGGCUAACCCCGUGCCAGCAGCCGCGGUAAUACGGGGGAUGCGAGCGUUAUUCGGAUUUAUUGGGUUUAAAGGGUGCGCAGGCGGAGGUGCAAGUCAGCGGUCAAAUUGCGGGGCUUAACCCCGUACUGCCGUUGAAACUGCAUCCCUUGAGUGCGCGAGAAGUAUGCGGAAUGCGUGGUGGAGCGGUGAAAUGCAUAGAUAUCACGAAGAACUCCGAUUGCGAAGGCGGCAUACCGGCGCGCAACUGACGCUCAUGCACGAAAGCGUGGGUAUCGAACAGGAUUAGAUACCCGGGUAGUC